AGAGGGUGUCUGUCUAUU
rnacentral:piRNA from 1 species